AAAGUCGUAACAAGGUCUCCGUUGGUGAACCAGCGGAGGGAUCAUUACCGAGUUAUUACUCCAAACCCUUUGUGAACCUUACCUUUUGUUGCUCGGCGUACCGCGGGCCGAAGCCACCCGCAGCGCGCCAGAGGACCCAACUCUUCAAUUUAUAGCGUACCUUCUGAUUUACAAAACAAACAAGUUAAAACUUUCAACAACGGAUCUCUUGGUUCUG
rnacentral:misc_RNA from 1 species